AGCUACCUGGGUUGUUUGUGAUUUAGUUACAAUCUUGAGCCGAUAAUACUAAAAUAGGGAGUUUUGGUGUUUUGACUAGAGAGUAAGCUUUGAUACAUUAGUAUUCACAAAGAAACCCAAUGUUGGAACUAUGACACCCACUUGAACCUUAAAGGGAUCAAGAACAUUGAACUAAAACGGUAACUCGGGUAGCUA
rnacentral:other from 1 species